UACGGAGGGUGCAAGCGUUAAUCGGAAUUACUGGGCGUAAAGCGUGCGCAGGCGGUUUGUUAAGUCUGCUGUGAAAUCCCCGAGCUCAACUUGGGAAUUGCAGUGGAUACUGGCAGGCUGGAGUAUGGUAGGGGAAGGUGGAAUUCCCGGUGUAGCAGUGAAAUGCGUAGAGAUCGGGAGGAACACCAGUGGCGAAGGCGGCCUUCUGGACCAAUACUGACGCUCAUGCACGAAAGCGUGGGGAGCAAACAGG
rnacentral:rRNA from 1 species